rnacentral:lncRNA from 1 species
GGGAGCUACGUGCUGGGAAGAGUUGGGGAGACCCCGCUGGAGGCUGCUGCUGGGUGCAGAGGGUGAUGGUGGUGAUGGCCGCGAUGACGUCAACGGAAAGAACCCACGGACCGUCAGGCUUGUGAGAAGAAACAAAAGGCACAUAAAAUCCGUCUGUAUAGAAACAAUGCCUGGGGCAGGCCAGGCCUGCUCGAGGGGAA